UGUUUAUCAAAAACAUGGCUUAUUGUUGUAAAUUAUAUUAAGUCUGACCUGCUCAAUGAAGUAUUUAAAUAGCCGCAGUAUUUUGACUGUGCAAAGGUAGCAUAAUCAUUUGUCUUUUAAUUGGGGACUGGUAUGAAGGGUUUGAUGAAAUAUCAACUUUCUUUAUAUAAAUAUUUAAAACUUAAUUUUUUAGUUAAAAAGCUAAGAUUUUAUUAUAGGACGAKAAGACCCUAUAGAAUUUUAUAGUAUGGUUAAUAUAAAUUAUUUGGAUAUUUAAGUGUAUAUUAGUUAUAAUAUUUUGUUGGGGUGACAGGGAAAUAAUAUUAACUUUCUUUAUUUAUUUUUUAUUAAUGUAUAUAUAGUUGAUCCUUGGUGGAGGAAAAUAAGAUUAAAUUACCUUAGGGAUAACAGCGUAAUUCUUUUGGAGAGCUCUUAUCGAUAAAGGAGUUUGCGACCUCGAUGUUGGAUUAAAAUUAGUUUCAGGUGAAGAUAUUUGAUUACUAGGUCUGUUCGACCUUUAAAAUUUUACAUGAUCUGAGUUCAAACCGGAGAG
rnacentral:rRNA from 1 species